UACGGGGGGAGCAAGCGUUGUUCGGAUUUACUGGGCGUAAAGGGCGCGUAGGCGGCCAGCACAAGUCAGUUGUGAAAUCUCCGAGCUUAACUCGGAAAGGUCAACUGAUACUGUGCGGCUAGAGUGCAGAAGGGGCAACUGGAAUUCUUGGUGUAGCGGUGAAAUGCGUAGAUAUCAAGAGGGAACACCUGCGGCGAAGGCGGGUUGCUGGGCUGACACUGACGCUGAGGCGCGAAAGCUAGGGGAGCAAACAGG
rnacentral:rRNA from 1 species